UACAGAGGGUGCGAGCGUUGUCCGGAAUCACUGGGCGUAAAGGGCGCGUAGGUGGUGGCUUAAGCGUGCGGUGAAAGCUCGGGGCUCAACUCCGAGUCGGCCGUGCGAACUGGGCUCACUGGAGCAUAGUAGAGGCAGGUGGAAUUCCGGGUGUAGCGGUGGAAUGCGUAGAGAUCCGGAAGAACACCGGUGGCGAAGGCGGCCUGCUGGCCCGGUACUGACGCUGAGGCGCGGAAGCGUGGGGAGCAAACAGG
rnacentral:rRNA from 1 species